rnacentral:rRNA from 1 species
AUUGAACGCUGGCGGCAGGCCUAACACAUGCAAGUCGAGCGGUUGAAGGGAGCUUGCUUCUGGAUUCAGCGGCGGACGGGUGAGUAAUGCCUAGGAAUCUGCCUGGUAGUGGGGGAGAACGUCCGGAAACGGGCGCUAAUACCGCAUACGUCCUGAGGGAGAAAGUGGGGGAUCUUCGGACCUCACGCCAUCAGAUGAGCCCAGGUCGGAUUAGCUAGUUGGUGGGGUAAAGGCCUACCAAGGCGACGAUCCUUAACUGGUCUGAGAGGAUGAUCAGUCACACUGGACCUGAGACACGGUCCAGACUCCUACGGGAGGCAGCAGUGGGGAAUAUUGGACAAUGGGCGAAAGCCUGAUCCAGCCAUGCCGCGUGUGUGAAGAAGGUCUUCGGAUUGUAAAGCACUUUAAGUUGGGAGGAAGGGCAGUAAGUUAAUACCUUGCUGUUUUGACGUUACCAACAGAAUAAGCACCGGCUAACUUCGUG